rfam:Danio rerio chromosome 1, GRCz11 reference primary assembly.
ACUCACACCAUAUCACCCUGCAGCCCAAGACCGGUUACUCACUGAAGCCAAGCAGGGCUGAGCCUGGUUAGUACCUGGAUGGGAGACCACUAGGGAACACUAGGUUGCUGUGGAAG